UGGGCGUAAGCGCACGCAGGCGGUCUGUCAAGUCGGAUGUGAAAUCCCCGGGCUCAACCUGGGAACUGCAUUCGAAACUGGCAGGCUAGAGUCUUGUAGAGGGGGGUAGAAUUCCAGGUGUAGCGGUGAAAUGCGUAGAGAUCUGGAGGAAUACCGGUGGCGAAGGCGGCCCCCUGGACAAAGACUGACGCUCAGGUGCGAAAGCGUGGGGAGCAAACAGGAUUAGAUACCCUGGUAGUCCACGCCGUAAACGAUGUCGACUUGGAGGUUGUGCCCUUGAGGCGUGGCUUCCGGAGCUAACGCGUUAAGUCGACCGCCUGGGGAGUACGGCCGCAAGGUUAAAACUCAAAUGAAUUGACGGGGGCCCGCACAAGCGGUGGAGCAUGUGGUUUAAUUCGAUGCAACGCGAAGAACCUUACCUACUCUUGACAUCCAGAGAACUUUGCAGAGAUGGAUUGGUGCCUUCGGGAACUCUGAGACAGGUGCUGCAUGGCUGUCGUCAGCUCGUGUUGUGAAAUGUUGGGUUAAGUCCCGCAACGAGCGCAACCCUUAUCCUUUGUUGCCAGCGGUUAGGCCGGGAACUCAAAGGAGACUGCCAGUGAUAAACUGGAGGAAGGUGGGGAUGACGUCAAGUCAUCAUGGCCCU
rnacentral:rRNA from 1 species